UCAAAAUCAAUGCUUCUGAAAUAGGAAUAGGAGCGAUUUUAACUUAAGAGGGUAAGCAUUAACCUAUUUUAGCCAGAAGCUUAAUCCACGAAUGCAAAGUGCUUCCACUUACAAUCGAGAAAUGUUUGCCAUUACCCAGGUAGUGGGGAAGUGGCACCAAUAUCUUGUGGGUCGUAAAUUCAUGACCAUCACCGAUCAGCGGUCGCUGAGGGAUUGAACCAGCAGACUAUACAAACUUUGGAGCAACAGUGAUGGUUGUUGAAAUUAAUCGGUUCUCCCUGUUUUUGAGCUUUGUUUCUGUUCUUCUUUUGGGUGGAUGCUUCCUGGGUUGCUUCGAAGAAUGACUGGCUCCUUGUUGUCUCCUUGUUCGUGUGCUCUCAUUUGGUUGGCUUCGCGUUAGGGUCUCGCCCUGAUCGACAUUGAAUCUGUUAUGUGUCUGGUCUUGGCGUCCUAUCUACUUCUUGCGCUUUUGCGUGAAGUCUGCUUUUUUUUCUAUGUUGAAGGUGCCCAUGAUUUAGUCUAUUGUUCUUUCUUUCUUUUCUCUUUAUUUCGGUUUUAGCCUUUGCUUAAUCUGGGCUGUAAACGGAACUGCUUUUUUUUCUUUUUUCUUUGUUAGUUUGGUUGCCCAUUAUUUUAUUAUUUCUUGAGCUUGCUUUAGAUUUUUGGCUUUAUAAGUUCAGACCUGUUCCUCUAUUUUUUUCUUUUUGUGUUUUGCUUUAGUUUUUCUGCGUUUUUUGCUCUUGCUUUUGUCUUGUGUUCUUUUUUUUUUUUUUUUUGCUUUUCUUCUUCGAAGCGGCUGGCUCGUUUUUUUUUGGUUUCCAUUCCUAUCCCAAUCUUGCUCGUGGGACUGGGUGGUGUGCUCCCCUCUAUGUUCCGUUAUCUUGGUUGCGCCGCCCUGCUUGGUUCUACGUCAAGGGUGCUGUCGAUGGGUGGUGGCUCUUUCCUUAUAAGUCUGCUGGGGUUUGUUGGUGUCUUUCGUCCUGCUUCUUCUCUCGUGCUUUCGAGCUGGUUCCUCGUGAUUGGCUGGGUGGAGGUUUGGUUGUUUUACUUUCUGGGUGUUGAUCCUGGAUGCGUUGUUCUGCUUGAUUCCACGUCGAGGUUGCUGUUAAAGGUGUCUUUGUUUUAUUUUCCCCUUAAUUUUGAUCUCAGCCUUUGUUAUUUCUCGGGUUGUAAAUGGACUGUAAACGGAGUGUUUAAUUUGGGAUUAAUGCUGCUUCUCUUUCCUUU